UUCCUGAUUUUCCCAUCGUUCGGGGCAUUCUGGGGCUGUUUUGGCUAUUGGUUGCUUGUUUGGUCUUGAGCUGAACGGGUGGCUUCUAGUCCGGUGGCUUCGGGGAUGUUGUCCGUAAAGGUGGAUGAGUGGUGUUUGGUUUGUUACGUGUGGUUGGCUGCGGCGUUUGCAACAACUUCCAUGCUUUCAGACCUCUUCAGUUGUGCGACAAGGCUUGUAUCGCCUUGAGCGUACUGCGGGUUUUCUGUGUUGGCUACCUAAUCAACGGUAUCGGUUGGAUUGAUCAAAGUUUGAUUUCUUCUUUCGUCGCAUUCGCGGCGUGAGGCGAACCUCGAUGCGGUCUCUUUGAUCCACCUCGUUGAAGCACGUGCUUCGACGUUGUGGCACAUUGAGCAUUGCUUGGUCUCUUGUAUACGGAACAUAUAGUGGGCAUGGAUCUAACGAUCCUCGUUUGCUCUCAUAUUAGCGUAACGCUUCUCUAACACGACUUGCGCCAUGUUUUAG
rnacentral:misc_RNA from 1 species